rnacentral:rRNA from 1 species
AUACGGAGGGAGCGAGCGUUAAUGGGAAUUACUGGGCGUAAAGCGCGCGUAGGCGGGUAUUUAAGUCGGUUGUGAAAUCCCUGGGCUCAACCUGGGAAUUGCAUUCGAUACUGGGUACCUAGAGUAUGGUAGAGGGUAGUAGAAUUCCCGGUGUAGCGGUGAAAUGUGUAGAUAUCGGGAGGAAUACCAGUGGCGAAGGCGACUGCCUGGACCAAUACUGACGCUGAGGUGCGAAAGCGUGGGGAGCAAACAGGAUUAGAUACCCGUGUAGUCC